GACGAACGCUGGCGGCGUGCUUAACACAUGCAAGUCGAACGGAAAGGCCCUGCUCUUGUGGGGUGCUCGAGUGGCGAACGGGUGAGUAACACGUGAGUAACCUGCCCCUGACUUUGGGAUAACUUCAGGAAACUGGGGCUAAUAUCGGAUAGGAGCUCCUGCUGCAUGGUGGGGGUUGGAAAGUUUCGGCGGUUGGGGAUGGACUCGCGGCUUAUCAGCUUGUUGGUGGGGUAGUGGCUUACCAAGCCUUUGACGGGUAGCCGGCCUGAGAGGGUGACCGGCCACAUUGGGACUGAGAUACGGCCCAGACUCCUACGGGAGGCAGCAGUGGGGAAUAUUGCACAAUGGGCGGAAGCCUGAUGCAGCAACGCCGCGUGCGGGAUGACGGCCUUCGGGUUGUAAACCGCUUUCGCCUGUGACGAAGCGUGAGUGACGGUAAUGGGUAAAGAAGCACCGGCUAACUACGUG
rnacentral:rRNA from 1 species